CGUGCACCAGUGGGGUCCCUUGGCCUGGCUUGCACCCUCUCACAAUUCUGACCCCUCGGGGGAUGUCAGAGAGCCGGCUUUGGCCUGAUCCUGCAGGCCAGGCUGAGGGACCCCACUGGUGCACA
rnacentral:pre_miRNA from 1 species